rnacentral:pre_miRNA from 1 species
CAGUGAUGAUGACGAUGAUGAUGAUGAUGAUGAUGAUGAUGAUGAUGAUCAUGAUCAUCAUCAUCAUCAUCAUCAUCAUCAUAAGAA